rnacentral:lncRNA from 1 species
UCCCUUGUUAUUAUAUUGGCCCAACUUACCAUACAACCUAAAUUGAUGUUAUAUAUGCAACCUAUUCUCCCAGCCGUGUCUCGUGUUUGUGUAGUUUGCAAGAGGGGAAAGAAACGAGAGGCAGCCAUCCAUACGGCAAUUGAGAGCUUUACUUGGUGAGUUAUUGGUGUCUUCCUUCUUCUCUCCCUUUGUGACAUUGCAAAUCACCACCACCAUCAUCCUUUGUGGCUGAGGCAAUCAAAGUGAAGGAAGGGUGUGGGUCGAGCCAAGGUCUGGUGGUGUUCAUUUGAUGAUUAUUCUAAAUCCGAAUUCUAAAUUUCUUGAAGC